CGGAACUGCAGUACAACAACAACAACAACCACAAACACAAGAAGCACGAAAUUUUGGAAAUAUAGAUUGUAUGUUAGAUUUAUUUGACAAGACUAUAUUUGUCAGAUCUCAAUAAGUGAAUAAGUGGGUUACAAAGUGGCUACAGUAGACAAUUAUUUGAGAGAGCCAAUGGUAUAAUAACCAAGAAUAUCUUGCAAGUUGGACAUGAGGCAAAACAGACAUACUUGAUGUUUAAUUCAGAGACUUUAUCCAGUUGAUGAACUGGUGGGUUACAAAGUGGCUACGGAAGACAAUUAUUAGAGAGAGCCAAGAAUAUGUUGAAAGUUGCACAUGAAGCAAAACAGAAAUUCAGAGACUUUAUCCAGUUGAUAAACUA